UGGCAGAAAGAGGACCUACUAGGAAAAGAAUCAGAGGCGGGGAGAUUCAGCCAGUGACAUGGGACAGGAUUACCCACUUGCUGUGCAUAAACAAGGUCUCUCUCAAGGCAGUAGAAAAUGAAGGCACCUCCAGAUCUUCACAUCUCAAACCAUGUUGCUGAACUCAUCCCAUUUGCCAGCUGAGUCCUCCCCCUAGGCGCUCCUCUGUCAGGCAGUCUGGUAUACAGCUGUUAAAAAGGAGUGAUUAUGGUUUGAGUGCACUGGUGAGUGAGGGCUCUGAGAAAGGACUGAGAAAGAACUGCUUGGUGAAAGGUCUUCCCCCAAAGUUUGAGUAACACAAAGACAAAACUUCUAGGCAAGUAGGUGGAUCGUUUAACUGAGGGGAGACACAUCCAGAGUGUCUGUGAGUGAAAUUGUCCCAUGGACUAUGUCUGUUACUUCAGUUGUUGAAGCAGUCACUACAACCAAUCUUUUUGAUAGCAAGGCAAUAUAUGUGUUUUAUUAUUUUACUGGGUGGACAUAGUGUAUCACUACAAUGAGCAAAUGAUACAUUUUUAUGACUUGUUUUUUGCUCAAAAGCAGGUUGUUUCUUCAUUCCAGCUGGGUUGACAGAGUCAUGUCGAGUAUAUGAGUUAUUUAAUGUCCUUUUUAUAGUCUUCCCUUAUCAUUAUGAGAAGUGACUUUAGAUCCAUAUCUUGUUUUUCUGGUGUGAUGUUGUAUCCAGGAAUUGCUAUGGGGGGAGAGUUGUGUUCUGAUGAUGCCAAGUAACCUUGGUUUCUGUUGCUUCUGUUCUUAUGCUUGCCUCCUGCCAUCUGAUUAUCUCAAGUGCUCCCUGCCCUCAAUAUUUGAAGAACAGAUUUGAACCUGUCCUUCCUGUAAUCCCAUUUGAGUCAGAAGUUCUCAGAGUCCAGUUUUCUCUAUGAUCCUGUGAUUUUGGGAUCCUGUGAUGCUGAGAUUCUUGGUGUGUCAGUGUUCUUGGCUGUCACGCUUCCUCUUAGAUGCUGAGAUCCUGGUGUAACCAAGCUCUUGGAAUCCUUGGAUCCUAAGAUCCUGGGCUUGUUAGAGCACCUGGAAAUGGUAUUGCCUCUGGGGACCAUGGGAAUGUCAGCUGGGUUUCAAAACAAGUUAGACCAGUGCUGCCUGGAAGUAACCUGAGCUACUAGUUGGGUGGGGGUCCCUGUGUCCCUGUUCCUGCUGGCUCCAGGCACUCCCCAUUCUGUUGGAACAGAUAUUGUGUUCUACUCACCAGUGAUCCUAAGACCAUGGGCAUUCUAGGGCGCCUGUGGGGGGGGGGUGUGUGUGUGGUGUGUGGAGCGUCCUCUGGGGACCAUGGGACUGUCCGCUGAGUUCACUCCCAGGGUGGCCAGGUGCUGGUGCUGACCAGAAGGAACCCAAGCCACUGAUCAGGUCUGGCCAUCAUAGAUACUGCUUUCUUCGUAGUGAAGAUGGAAGUCACAAGGAAGGAUUUCUCAGUGGUUGCUGGGUCAUGAGGAAUCAAGUUCUACCUCUGGUAAAAAGCCUCUUGCUCCCAGAAGAAAGUCAAGUAGGAACAUACACCUUUGAAUGACAUCUCGCCAUUUACUGAAGUUAUCAUCAUCAGAUCUGUGCUACCUACCCAUUAAAACUUGUCUGGACAUUUUUAAACCUUCACUAAGGAAAUGAAUUUUCAACCAGGCCUCAGGAGCUAUGACAGUAUGGGGUGGACAGAAGAUAUGACAGAGACACAGAACAGCCUAGCAUCAGGGAGGGUAAGACAGGAACCAACACAAAAUAGAAGACCUCAGUCUCUCGCAACCACUUAAGUCGGUUUGUUUAUAAAAGGAGGAAAAAAAUUCAUGCAAUUUGGUGGAUGGAGAAUAGGAGAAGAGUAUCUGGGUCUGGUUUCUUGGAAGCUGAAAUACUGAAAACAAAAUGGCAGCUGGAACUGAAGAAAGCAAUGAGUGUAUUGUGCUAUAUUUCUAGGAAGCACUGUCUUCAAUGCUUGGUGUUACAGUCGUCUGAUCUGUUCAGAGGAGUUUGUAGAGGGGAAGGGAGAAGAAAGGACCAAUGACUGCAAAGAAUAAAAAGAAUAAAGAGACAUAGUUAAGUAGAUAAAUACACAGAUGAUAGGUGAGUUGAUAGGUGAUAGGUAGAUAGACAGACAGACAGACAGACAGGCAGACAGAU
rnacentral:lncRNA from 1 species